GUACUCGUGAGUUCUGUUCAUACCUGUUUGUCGUGCUUGGGAUAAAUAAACCCUGGAACUCUCUCUCUCUGCUCACAGUGUCUUGCAUUUGGGCUCACUCCUGCUGCACUCACUCAGCAAGCCUUGACACUUACCAUAUGAAGUUGUCACAGUACCCUGUCUGUUCUUCUUCCUCUCUUUUUACAUUUACA